CCUACGGGAGGCUGCAGUGAGGAAUACUGGUCAAUGGACGAGAGUCUGAACCAGCCAAGUAGCGUGAAGGAUGACUGCCCUAUGGGUUGUAAACUUCUUUUAUAUGGGAAUAAAAUGUUCCACGUGUGGGAUUUUGUAUGUACCAUAUGAAUAAGGAUCGGCUAACUCCGUGCCAGCAGCCGCGGUAAUACGGAGGAUCCGAGCGUUAUCCGGAUUUAUUGGGUUUAAAGGGAGCGUAGGUGGAUUGUUAAGUCAGUUGUGAAAGUUUGCGGCUCAACCGUAAAAUUGCAGUUGAAACUGGCAGUCUUGAGUACAGUAGAGGUGGGCGGAAUUCGUGGUGUAGCGGUGAAAUGCUUAGAUAUCACGAAGAACUCCGAUUGCGAAGGCAGUUCACUGGACUGCAACUGACACUGAGGCUCGAAAGUGUGGGUAUCAAACAGGAUUAGAUACCCUUGUAGUC
rnacentral:rRNA from 1 species